AUUGAACGCUGGCGGCAUGCUUUACACAUGCAAGUCGAACGGUAACAGGCCGCAAGGUGCUGACGAGUGGCGAACGGGUGAGUAAUGCAUCGGAACGUGCCCAGUCGUGGGGGAUAACGCAGCGAAAGCUGUGCUAAUACCGCAUACGAUCUAUGGAUGAAAGCGGGGGACCGUAAGGCCUCGCGCGAUUGGAGCGGCCGAUGUCAGAGUAGGUAGUUGGUGGGGUAAAGGCCUACCAAGCCAACGAUCUGUAGCUGGGCUGAGAGGACGACCAGCCACACUGGGACUGAGACACGGCCCAGACUCCUACGGGAGGCAGCAGUGGGGAAUUUUGGACAAUGGGCGCAAGCCUGAUCCAGCAAUGCCGCGUGCAGGAAGAAGGCCUUCGGGUUGUAAACUGCUUUUGUGCGGAACGAAACGGUCUGGGUUAAUACCCCGGGCUAAUGACGGUACCGUAAGAAUAAGCACCGGCUAACUACGUGCCAGCCGCCGCGGUAAGAC
rnacentral:rRNA from 1 species